AGGGAAGAAGAAAGAGGGAGGGAAGGAGAGAGAGGGGGAGGGAAGGUCUCUUUUAUCUUCCCCAUCUCUUCUUUCUUCCUUCUCUCUUUUUUUCACA
rnacentral:pre_miRNA from 1 species